rnacentral:rRNA from 1 species
UACGUAGGGUGCGAGCGUUGUCCGGAAUUACUGGGCGUAAAGAGCUCGUAGGUGGUUUGUCGCGUUGUUCGUGAAAACCGGGGGCUUAACCCUCGGCGUGCGGGCGAUACGGGGCAGACUUGAGUACUGCAGGGGAGACUGGAAUUCCUGGUGUAGCGGUGGAAUGCGCAGAUAUCAAGUGGAACACCAGUGGCGAAGGCGGAUCUCUGGGCCUGUCCUGACGCUGAGGCGCGAAAGCUAGGGGGAGCGAACAGG